rnacentral:ncRNA from 1 species
ACAACGAAGAGUUUGAUCCUGGCUCAGGAUGAACGCUAGCUGCAGGCUUAAUACAUGCAAGUCGAGGGGUAACAGAGAGUGCUUGCACUCUGCUGACGACCGGCGCACGGGUGCGUAACGCGUAUGCAACCUACCUUUUACAGAGGGAUACCCAAGAGAAAUUUUGAAUAAUACCUCAUAAGCUCUAUUCGUAUCAUUAUUUAUAGAGGAAAACUUCGGUGGUAAUUGAUGGGCAUGCGUCCUAUUAGUUUGUUGGUAAGGUAACGGCUUACCAAGACUACGAUAGGUAGGGGUCCUGAGAGGGAGAUCCCCCACACUGGUACUGAGACACGGACCAGACUUCUACGGAAGGCAGCAGUAAGGAAUAUUGGACAAUGGAGGCAACUCUGAUCCAGC